UAGGGGUUAGAUAGGAAGGUAGAGUGAGGUAGUGAAAGGGGAUUCGACAAGGAAAGGCAACCGAGAGAAACAACGAGAGACCGGUAAAAUAGAGAAACAAAGAUGGUGUGAGGGAAAUAGACAAGUAACGAGGGGAAUACGGGAGCAGCGAAAAAAGAUUUCGGAAGGAAAGCUAUCCGGGAGGGGUAGAGAUGUGUUGAAGUGUGUUCUUGUGUAUAUAUAUGGUGCAGUGCGGUGCUGUGCUCGAGAGAGAGAAUGGCGUGGUCGGAUUUCGCGUGUACCUCGCCGUGACGUGGAAAGAGUCGACUUCGCAGCGAGAAGAACAACCGUUUCGCCGAACGAGUUCUCGAAAGGCACGAGCGAAUACGGAUCGAUAACUGUCGGGGAACCAACGCGACAAAAAAUCCCUCGGUGAAUCCGGUGACCGGUACAGGAAAUCGAAUCGCUUGCUGCGAGGAUACCGAUCGCUAUCCAAUAGCUUUCCCGUCGAAUCGAGUUAUGCAACGAGCUUGCCAUAUCC
rnacentral:misc_RNA from 1 species